ACGGUUUCCCCUUUGGGGCGGGUUCCCAGGUGGUCCAGGGUUGUUUUCAGCUCGUGUUGGGAGAAGUUGGGUUAAUUCCCGCAAGAGGCGCAACCCUCGUUCCAUGUGGCCAGCCAGUUGUGGUGGGGACUCAUGGGAGACUUCCGGGGUCAACUCGGAGGAAGGUGAGGACGAAGUCAAAUCAUCAUGCCCCUUAUGUCUUGGGCUUCACCCAUGCUACAAUGGCCGGUACAAUGGGUUGCGAUACUGUGAGGUGGAGCUAAUCCCAAAAAGCCGGUCUCAGUUCGGAUUGGGGUCUGCAACUCGACCCCAUGAAGUCGGAGUCGCUAGUAAUCGCAGAUCAGCAAAGCUGCGGUGAAUACGUUCCCGGGCCUUGUACACACCGCGCGUCAAGUCACGAAAGUUGGUAACACCCGAAGCCGGAGAGCACUAACCCUUG
rnacentral:rRNA from 1 species